AUUUGAUAAACUGGAGGAAGGUGGGGAUGACGUCAAGUCAUCAUGGCCCUUACGAGUAGGGCUACACACGUGCUACAAUGGCGCAUACAAAGAGAAGCGACCUCGCGAGAGCAAGCGGACCUCAUAAAGUGCGUCGUAGUCCGGAUUGGAGUCUGCAACUCGACUCCAUGAAGUCGGAAUCGCUAGUAAUCGUAGAUCAGAAUGCUACGGUGAAUACGUUCCCGGGUCUUGUACACACCG
rnacentral:rRNA from 1 species